UACGUAGGGUCCGAGCGUUGUCCGGAAUUAUUGGGCGUAAAGAGCUCGUAGGCGGUGUGUCACGUCGGCCGUGAAAACCUGCAGCUUAACUGUGGGCGUGCGGUCGAUACGGGCAUCACUGGAGUUCGGCAGGGGAGACUGGAAUUCCUGGUGUAGCGGUGAAAUGCGCAGAUAUCAGGAGGAACACCGGUGGCGAAGGCGGGUCUCUGGGCCGAUACUGACGCUGAGGAGCGAAAGUGUGGGGAGCAAACAGG
rnacentral:rRNA from 1 species